CCUGCCCUGAGAGGUAUCAGGUGUGGCUGCUGCUGUGUCACUUGUGCAGCACUAGAUGGCAGAGAGGAGAGAGGCUUUGUUUGCUAAGAGAAGAAAGUAAGUUGUUGAGAAAUUGAAGAGAAAGAAAAACAGA